GCCCUAAAACAUUUUAACUCCCAGUCAUUAUUUUGCUUGGUUUCAGCACCCACGGCAAUCAUGAGCAGCUCCAGGCAGGUACCACCUACAAAAAGGAAACCAACAGUUACAUAUCUGAAACGGAAGAAAAGAAAUGAAGAAAGCUUAAAGUCAUCAGGAACAGCAUUUAUUGGACAGGUUAUAAAGUUUUGGAAUAGUCCCCUGUGGGUGGGAGUUGACAGAAUAGAAGAUUACGUGAAAAAGUUGCUUCACAGCAUCUUUUUCUUAGGUCACAUUCAUGAGGCCCGUCUUCUUCCAACUGACUUCUUUGAGUCUCAAGCGGUGAUGGACUAUUUAGAAACAAAAUUUAAAAUGACAUUCAACAAUUACAGGCUUCCACCCCGUCAGACUCCAUUUUCCAUUCUUCUGACUUUGGUAAGUGUGUAAAUGGAAUGUACAGUUGAAGUGGGAAGGUUACAUACACUUAGGUUGGAAUCAUUAAAACUCCUUUUUCAACCACUCCAUAAAUUAGUUGUUAACAAACUAUAGUUUUGGCCAGUCGGUUAGGACAUCUACUGUGUGCAUGACACAAGUCAUUGUUCCAAACAUUGUUUACAGACAGAUUAUUUAACUUAUAAUUCACUGUAUCACAAAUCCAGUGGGACAGAAGUUUACAUACACUAAGUUGACUGUGCAUUUAAACAGCUUGGAAAAUUCCAGAAAAUUAUGUCAUGACUUUAGAAGUGUACCUGUGGAUGUAUUUCAAGGCCUACCUUCAAGCUCAGUGCCUCUUUGCUUGACAUCAUGGGAAAAUCAAAAGAAAUCAGCCAAGACCUCCGAAAAAAAUGUAGAGACCUCCACAAGUCUGGUUCAUCCUUGGGAGCAAUUUCCAAAUGCCUGAAGGUACCACGUUCAUUUGUACAAACAAUAGUAUGCAAGUAUAAACACCAUGGGACCACGCAGCCAUCAUACUGCUCAGGAAGGAGAUGCGUUCUGACUCCUAGAGAUGAAAGUUAUUUGGUGCGAAAAGUGGAAAUCAAUCCCAGAACAGCAGCAAAGGACCUUGUGAAGAUUCUGGAGGAAACAGGUAGAAAAGUAUCUAUAUCCACAGUAAAACGAGUCCAAUAUUGACAUAACCUGAAAGGCCGCUCAGCAAGGAAGAAGCCACUGCUCCAAAACCGCCAUAAAAAAGCCUGACUAUGGUUUGCAACUGCACAUGGGGACAAAGAUCAUACUUUUUGGAGAAAUGUCCUCUGGUCUGAUGAAAUAAAAAUAGAACUGUUUGGCCAUAAUGACCAUCGUUAU